UACGUAGGGGCCUAGCGUUGUCCGGAAUCAUUGGGCGUAAAGAGCUCGUAGGCGGUUCGGCAAGUCACGUGUGAAAUCUCCACGCUUAACGUGGAGGCGCCACGUGAAACUGCCGUGACUCGAGUCCGGUAGGGGAGUGUGGAAUUCCCGGUGUAGCGGUGAAAUGCGCAGAUAUCGGGAGGAACACCAGUAGCGAAGGCGGCACUCUGGGCCGGUACUGACGCUGAGGAGCGAAAGCUAGGGGAGCAAACGGG
rnacentral:rRNA from 1 species